UACGGAGGGGGCUAGCGUUGUUCGGAAUUACUGGGCGUAAAGCGCACGUAGGCGGACCAGCAAGUUGGGGGUGAAAUCCCGGGGCUCAACCCCCGGAACUGCCUUCAAAACUGCGGGUCUGGAGGUCGAGAGAGGUGAGUGGAAUUCCGAGUGUAGAGGUGAAAUUCGUAGAUAUUCGGAGGAACACCAGUGGCGAAGGCGGCUCACUGGCUCGAUACUGACGCUGAGGUGCGAAAGCGUGGGGGAGCAAACAGG
rnacentral:rRNA from 1 species